rnacentral:rRNA from 1 species
UACGUAGGGUGCAAGCGUUGUCCGGAAUUAUUGGGCGUAAAGAGCUCGUAGGCGGUUUGUUGCGUCGGCUGUGAAAUCCCGAGGCUCAACCUCGGGUCUGCAGUCGAUACGAGCAAACUAGAGUGUUGCAGGGGAGACUGGAAUUCCUGGUGUAGCGGUGAAAUGCGCAGAUAUCAGGAGGAACACCGGUGGCGAAGGCGGCGCUCUGGGCCGGAACUGACGCUGAGGAGCGAAAGCGUGGGGAGCAAACAGG